rnacentral:rRNA from 1 species
AGCGGUAACAGAGAGUAGCUUGCUACUUUGCUGACGAGCGGCGGACGGGUGAGUAAUGCUUGGGAAUAUGCCUUUUGGUGGGGGACAACAGUUGGAAACGACUGCUAAUACCGCAUGAUGUCUACGGACCAAAGUGGGGGACCUUCGGGCCUCACGCCAAAAGAUUAGCCCAAGUGGGAUUAGCUAGUUGGUAAGGUAAUGGCUUACCAAGGCAACGAUCCCUAGCUGGUUUGAGAGGAUGAUCAGCCACACUGGGACUGAGACACGGCCCAGACUCCUACGGGAGGCAGCAGUGGGGAAUAUUGCACAAUGGGCGCAAGCCUGAUGCAGCCAUGCCGCGUGUGUGAAGAAGGCCUUCGGGUUGUAAAGCACUUUCAGUAAGGAGGAAAGGUUAAGUUUUAAUAGAGCUUAGCUGUGACGUUACUUACAGAAGAAGCACCGGCUAACUCCGUGCCAGCAGCCGCGGUAAUACGGAGGGUGCGAGCGUUAAUCGGAAUUACUGGGCGUAAAGCGUACGCAGGCGGUUUGUUAAGCGAGAUGUGAAAGCCCCGGGCUCAACCUGGGAACUGCAUUUCGAACUGGCAAACUAGAGUGUGAUAGAGGGUGGUAGAAUUUCAGGUGUAGCGGUGAAAUGCGUAGAGAUCUGAAGGAAUACCGAUGGCGAAGGCAGCCACCUGGGUCAACACUGACGCUCAUGUACGAAAGCGUGGGGAGCAAACAG